CUUUAACGAGCCCUUGGGAAGCUAUGGCCCUUGAAACAGAUCACGUCCGUCCACGUCGAAAAGAGAGCAUUAUUAAUAAGUUGCCCUGGGCACCCGGUAAUGAUUGUGAGCGGCUGUGAGCCAGGGUACACGAGGGCACUGCAACUUGAAAGGGAACAUUUCCCAAAGGGAGGCGAUAGGUCUUGAUAAUUGUUAUAAUAACAGCUCAGCGGGCCUGGGUUGGUUCCUUUCAUCCUGUGAGGUCAUAAAUGGCUUUCUCCACCGGAGAAAGGACAGGGCCUCCACCCACCACAAACACCCUCUCGCCCGCACUCACCCAGCUGGGGAUUUGCCCAGCUGUUAUUUCUGAGCUGGGGAAACUUCGCGAUUGUUAAAACAAGAUUGAGGCCAUCAAUCCCAACCGCACAGGUAGACCAUAAAGUGAUGGCAAGAUUCUGCGUGUAAAAACGUCUGGCAAGAGCCCUUCCGGGUUGAUCCAAGUUAAAGGUUCCGACCUUUUCUACAUCGAACAGUGCAACCUGGCUGCUGUCCCCAUCCUUCGCAGCUUGUCAGCUCUCCUCUGCGUGACAUGGUGCUCCUGCAACCCUCAUGCCUUUCGUUUCCACGACCCAUCUCUUCUCCGUGUCCUCUCACCUGGCACAGAGCUCUGUCACAAUCGGACCAGGCUUCUCUCACACCACCCACCCUUUUCAGCUUAGUGCUUCAGAGCACUUUGUUUUUGUCCUUCUUAUUCUCAAACAUUGCUACACAAUUUGCAGGGCCCAGUGCAAAUAAAAAUGGGGGUGCCAGUUUAAAAGUUACUAAGAGAUUCAAGAUGGCGACAGGAGAGCAUUAAACCCAAACCUCGGGGCCCUCCUGAGCACAGGGCCCUGUGUGGUCACACACCCACGAAGCUGGCCUUGCCCGUUCUGCAUGCUCCCAGGACAAUCUCAUGCACGCUGGCAGUAACCACCACACACGCUAAUGACUCUCACAUGCAUCUUCUUUCUUGAGCCCCAGAGCCAAUUGUUGGGCCAACCUAUUGACAUCAACACUUUGUCACUUUGCAGGCAACUUAGAAGCAGUACGUUCAAGACCGAACUCAUUAUCUUUCCCCCCGAAACCUGCUUCUCCUCCUGUAUUCUCUAUCUUGAUAAAUAGCAACAUAAUCCUCUGAGGUGCCCAAACCAGAAAGCUCUGAGUCAUCUCUGACUCUACUGCUGCCUUACCCCCAUAUCCAAUAGGCCUCUAGGUUUGAGUGAUUAUAGUUGCCUAUUAUCUCUGCUAUCCAUCGGCUCCUCAGCGCUCCAGGCCCCUGCCCUAGUUCCGGUGCUCACAGCUCCUGCUCCCUCUGCUUCAGGUGUCUCCUUAUGCCCGCCCCCUUGUUUCCUAGCACCAUCCAUCUUUCUCUACUGUGUCACCACAGUGAGGUUUCUAAAACACAAAAAUCAAUUGCUUCACUCCCAUUUCUACAACUUCCAGAGUCUGCAGAACAAAGUUUAAACUCUGGCAUUGCAUGCCGGCUCUUCAUAAUGUAUUCUCUGCCUACUACCUGCAUCUCCCAGCCCUGACCCUGGCCAAUACCCUCCACACUGCAAACGGUGCCAGGGAUCCAGCUAUCCUUGUCCACCCCCCAACAGGCCAAACACCUUCACACUACUUACCUGUGCACAUCCUGUUCUCCCCGCCGGGUGCCAACCCUGUGGCUCCCUCUGACCACCAUGCUCCUUCUGGACCUUUAUGAUGCAGCUCUAGGAUGUCAGGUUGAGUCUUCCACCUCCCAAAGAUGCACUAAAAAGACCCAAUAAGGCUAAGAGUUAGAAAAAGUCCAGAGCAGAACCGACUGAGGAGGCUGUCGUGAAAAUGGAAGGCAUUUACAGGAAUUUCUGGAAGAAAUGAAGUGAUAAGAUCAUAUUAAAGGGACAGCUGAUUAGUACACAGGUGAUCAGACAAUACAGGUGAAGAGGAUACUCCCUUGAAGUUAAAGGUGAGGGUAUUCCCGACAGCACUUCAAAGGACUUGAUGCUCGCAGCAACAGGGAUAGCUAAUGGAUAUGUGGUGGGAUAGUCUCACUUGGCAAAUUGAAAAGACAUGAACUGCAAACUGGAUCACUUCCCCCCAGUGAGAGUGGCAAGCUCAUGUUGUGUGUGUUCCUUACCAAGUCUCAGUGUGGACUGAAGAAUGAAAAGGUGUGGCAGGGCCCCAGCGAACUCUGAGCCGUACCACAAAUAUGGAGAACUGAAAGGAGUCUGAAGGAUGGUGAAAUUCCCUAAGGCCCUCAGCACCCACAGAGACAACUCCUUUCCAUCUUCCUGUUGACACUGUCCUGUUGACAUCAAUGGCUUUGCUAGAAGACAGGAAGCCAGCAGCAGGGAGCGACGUGAUGGUCUUCAGGGCUUACCCGAGCUCCUCACCCCAGCUGUUGGCCAAUGCUCUCCAGACCGUGAAGUUACUACUAGGAGCAGAAUGCACAGCACCUGAGCAUGAGGAUGGGCGCCCUCAUAGCCCUGAGCCUUUUAACUGAGAACUCUGGCCUGCUGCUCUGUUCCCAGCCCACCUCUCCUGAAAGGAAGCCACCAUCAGUGUGGUGGCUCAGUUCCCACCCCAGGCAAGCCCCACCCCCGGAGCCUAGCAGCUAUCACAAACCUACCUUUUCUAGGGGAAAUGAGGGUGAUCUGGAAAUCUAUACCUGCCCAACUGAUGUUCUCAUGUGAGAGACAGAGAAAGGCAUUAUUUGGACCUAGAAGUCAAAAUAUCUGUAUGCCCCUUCUGGAAGGGUAGGGUGGAGGGGCUGGAGAGAAACAAGAUGAAAACGAAUCAGAGAAAAAUAAAUCCAGGCAAAGGGAAGAUUCAGGAUAUAAGAAAUAGUUUAAUCCAAAUAAAUGUGUUAGUAAUGGGAUUUAGAAAUUUAAUGCAAGUAUCAUGGAAGGAUUAUAAAAAGAAAAACAUACCUGUAAAAAUCUAGGGAAUAGGAAGACAUGGGAAGAAGACAAUCAAAAAAAGCAUAUUAAAAUUUUCAUUUUGUUUUUUGAGAUAGUGGUUAUUUA